UAGCCUUCCUGUUAAGAAAACAAAAGAACAUGUGAGAUCACGGAGCUGCAGACUGCACCUUGGAGAUCACUGAAUCUUCUCUUCUCUUGGCCAGAGGAGGGGAUAGAAGAAAGCAGACAUGCCUGAGGCCACACAGCUGGCUGUCAUAGAAGUUACUUGGACAACACCACCCACCCCUGGGGGGUGGGGUGGUGGGAACUUGCUUGGUGAUGGCAACAAACAAACAAACACUUUCCCCUUCCCACUUCUCUUCCGGUAUUCCAGACAGGAGGAAUAAUGUACUGAUCUGCUGACAUUAAGAAGGACCCUAUUUUCAGAUUACUUCUUCAAAGGAGCAGCAUCUACAUUGGCAAGGACCGCCGUGAGGAUCCAAGUGCACAGUGAGGUGGGGGGAGGCAGAUACAUGGAUUCCUUUCCACGUGGCCCACAAGAAACACCUGUCCCUCCAGACUCGGGGACCACCAGGGACCUUGAAUAGUUGCCUUGGCAACUCAUUGCCUGGCUAACUCCCACUCCUUUGGGUUUCAGCUUAAACAUCAGUUGUGCAAGAUCUUCUGGACCCCUAAGUUGGGUCCUCCUCUUGUAAGCAUUCAUAGCAUUCUCUACAUACCCUUUACAGCACUUUUAUGAGUUGAAUAGCAUGGUUAUUGGUGUGCUUAUUUGUUUCACACCUGUCUUUUGCACUAAAUUCUAAGCUCUCUGAGGAAAAGGAAUAUGUUUCUGUUGCGUACCAUCUUAUCACCACGUAGCAGUGGGUGCUCCAUAAGAUCCUCCUGCGUGAGUAAGUGAAUUCCCUGCCUCAUCCCUCUCUCAUGCCUUAGCAUGAGGCCUGAGGCCAAGAGCCCGUCCAUCACAUACCCCUUGCCCAAAGCCUCCUUAUAACGGUCAGGAGAAGGGUGGCAUCUCCUCCUCUCCCUUCUAACUCAAGGAACAAAUCACUGGCUACAUGAUAGUUGCCCUUCCUCCCAUCCUUCCAGCAUAGUAGCCCCUGCCCAGGAUCCAAAAGGCAGAAGGUGAGUAAUUGCUAUUUUUAUUUAUCUUUGCACAAGGCUGCCCUCUGGUGGUCGAACAUGUAGGAGCGAAUGGGAAGGAUGGAAACCCCAGUAGCCAGGAACCAGCCCAGCUGGCUGAGCCAACCACGCUCAAGAGACUGGCCAGCGAGCCAGGGAGUAGCUUUCUUGGCAUUCUGUGUGGGUGCAAGAGAUGGGGAAUAUGGAAAAGAGCUCCACUGCAGACACUGCUAUUUUCUGAGCCAGGAGCCAUAAGUGUCAAGGAAAGAAGAUGGAGAAAUGCAAAUUUGGCUACUGAAAAACAUUUCAGUACAUGAGUGUGUGUGUGUAUGCAUGCGUGUGCAUGUGUGUGAUAUUUGCAAGGGAUCGAGAGGUUGAUUAAUGCCUGGGCUAAAGAUCACCGUUUAAAGAUAAGGAAUUGGGCUUUAUGGCUGGAGGCCCAUGCCUGCAUGGUCCUUGGAGGGUUCUUACCUGGGAGGAGUGGAAGGGCUCCG
rnacentral:lncRNA from 1 species